CCGACUUUAGCUCAGUUGGAAGAGCAUCAGACUGUAACUGGUUAACUUGCGUAAUUUGCUUACGUAAUCUGGGUGUCGCCUGUUCGAACCAGGCAAGUCGGA